ACAAGUUGAAAGGCUUUUAUAGGUGUAGCAACUAUGGGUAAUAUUUGCGCACAUUCCAAGAGUGUGGCAACUCUGCUCCAAGCUGAUCUGCGAGGUAGAAGGUUCCUAGCCUGUUGCUUCGAGUGACAACAUAAGGCCCUUCCCAAGUUUCUUGCAACUUCCCGAGGUUCUUCAUUUUUUUCUCUUUUUGAUAACCAGGUCACCCACCUUGACUUCUUUUCUAACUACCUUCUUAUCCCGC
rnacentral:lncRNA from 1 species